rnacentral:rRNA from 1 species
UACGUAGGUGGCAAGCGUUAUCCGGAAUUAUUGGGCGUAAAGCGCGCGCAGGUGGUUUCUUAAGUCUGAUGUGAAAGCCCACGGCUCAACCGUGGAGGGUCAUUGGAAACUGGGAGACUUGAGUGCAGAAGAGGAAAGUGGAAUUCCAUGUGUAGCGGUGAAAAUGCGUAGAGAUAUGGAGGAACACCAGUGGCGAAGGCGACUUUCUGGUCUGCAACUGACACUGAGGCGCGAAAGCGUGGGGAGCAAACAGG